GGGACUUCCGGGGGUAAGGGACUCGGGCACACAGGGCAGACGGGACCUAGAUGACGACAGAUCUGCGUGUUUGGGCUCUGUUUGAAACAGACCUCAGCCAGAGUCUUGAAGAGCAGAACCCGGAGUGUUGAAGUCACAAGAGAUCAACAUCCCUACGGUGUGAAAUCCUGAAAACGGCAAAUCCCAAAGGACGAAACGCCCGAAAAUGAUGUCAUCCUUUAAGUGUUUUCUUCUUUUUUCUUUUCUUUUUCUUUUCUUUUCUUUUUUUUUUUUUUUUUGAGUCAGGAUCUCGCUCUGUCGCCCAGGCUGCAGUGCAGUGCCGCUAUCGUGGCUCACUGCAGCCUCAGCCUCCUGGGCUCGAGUGGUCCUCCCACCAGAGCCUCCCACACUGCUGGGAUUACAGGCACCAACCACCUUGCGCAGCUAGAGAGUAAUUUUUAAACUUCUUUAAAAGACAGUUAGACUGGACAUGGUGGCUCACGACGGGAAUCCCAGCAAUUUGGGAGCUCAAGCUGGGGGGAUCGCUAGAGUCCAGGAGUUUGAGACCAGCCUGGGAAACAGGGAGACCGUGUCUCUACGAAAAAAAGUUUAAAAAAUUAGCCGGAUGUGGUGGCUCACGCCUGUGCUUCCAGGUAUUCUGGAGGCUGAGGCAGGAGAAUGGCGUGAACCCGGGAGGCG
rnacentral:lncRNA from 10 species